rnacentral:rRNA from 1 species
UACGUAGGGGGCAAGCGUUGUCCGGAAUCAUUGGGCGUAAAGAGCGCGUAGGCGGCCCAGUAAGUCCGCUCUGAAAGUCAGGGGGCUCAACCCCUGGAUGCGGGUGGAUACUGCUGGGCUAGAGUCCGGAAGAGGUGAGUGGAAUUCCUGGUGUAGCGGUGGAAUGCGCAGAUAUCAGGAGGAACACCGGUGGCGAAGGCGGGUCUCUGGGCAGUAACUGACGCUGAGGAGCGAAAGCGUGGGGAGCGAACAGG